rnacentral:rRNA from 1 species
GAUGAACGCUGGCGGCGUGCCUAAUACAUGCAAGUCGAGCGAACAGACGAGGAGCUUGCUCCUCUGACGUUAGCGGCGGACGGGUGAGUAACACGUGGAUAACCUACCUAUACGACUGGGAUACCUUCGGGAAACCGGAGCUAAUAACGGAUAAUAUAUUGACCCGCAUGGUUCACUAGUGAAAGACGGUUUUGCUGUCACUUAUAGCUGGCUCCGCGCCGCAUUAGCUAGUUGGUAAGGUAACGGCUUACCAAGGCGACGAUGCGUAGCCGACCUGAGCGGGUGAACGGCCACACUGGAACAGAGAAAGGGCCCAGACACCGACGGUGGGCCGCAGUAGAGAAUCUUCCGCAAGGGGCGAAAGCCUGACAGAGCAACGCCGCGUGAGUGAUGAAGGUCUUCGGAUCGUAAAACUCUGUUAUUAGGGAAGAACAAAUGUGUAAGUAACUAGGCACGUCUUGACGGUACCGAAUCAGAAAGCCACGGCUAACUACGUG